ensembl:lncRNA novel transcript, overlapping to GPR20
UAUCCCCAUGUUACAAAUGAAGAAACUGAGGCUCAGAGGGAGAAAGGGGCUUGCCAAGGUCAUAGAGUGAGUGCCUGAGUCAUCCAAGGCCAGUAUUGUCCUCACCAACCCCAGCUGUGGCCAUGUGGAGCAGCUGGGGUGGGGGGCACCGGCCCAGAGGAGUCAGAGGCGUGCCCCGCAAGGUGGUGGAACUGGGAGUGCUGCCAGGGUUACUUCCUCCCUGGGUCCGGAUGCCCGAGAAGCAGUGGGUAUCACCAUGGCCGCCAGCAUUCUUGAUACUUACCAGGCACCAGGCACAAUUCUGGAACCUUCCCCCAGCCCCCAGCUCUCGGGUGCUGCUCAGAGAGGGGCCGUGGCUUACCAGGGAUGCAGGGUUCCACAAGGCAGAGGGGCCCAGCGUUCAGGAAAGGACGUGGCUGGGGGACAGGGCUGUGCAUGCAGAAAAACCCCGCUGACCACAGGUGCAGCAUUCACGGCGACUUUCAGGCAAGCAGGCACCAACAGCCAGCGAGCCAUCAUUCCCAGGGCUGCGAGCUGGCACCCACGUGGUCACAUGCCUAGAGCUGAGGAGUGAGGGGUCAGGGCUCAGGUGUCCUGCCCAGCCCAAGCCAUGAGCUUCUUCCAGGCUCAUGUGGCCCAGCAGUCCCUGAAUGGCCUUGCUUACCUGGGACCCCUCCACCCACGCUCACAAGUCAUCCAGGGCCAGGGACUCUGGACUCCAUUCCUCCAGGAGCUGUGGAUCCUCUUGCUCCAUCUUAGGGGGCGCCCCAAGCCCCAGAGACUACCUGCCGGCUCCCACUCCCGCCCCUCAAGCAAGCUCUGCACGUGGCCUAGAGUAUGACACCCCUCUGCCCUUGGUCCCGCACUGUACUGUGAAGACCUCUCCAGCCCAGGGCUGCAAGGAGGCAGGGGCCAGCGGGAAGGAGUGCUAAGAUGAGGGGGAAUGGCCUGGGCAAAGGUAAGGCCAAGCGCCCGCCUCGCUGGGGCCAGUGAAGGGCCUUCCAUGCAGCUUCCCAGCCCCUCCCCUCCCCUACCAGUCUUCCCGGCCCCUUCCCCGCCAGUCUUCCCUGCCCCUCCUCCACCGGUGUUACGUGCCCCUCGGGCCUUUGGCCUCCCCAUCAAUGACCCCCAGCCUGGCUCCAUUCCUGGUUGUCACUCUAAUUCACGCUAAAGAGUGAAUGGCUGACACUUGAGGAUUGCUGUGCUUGAAGAGGCAGGGCUUGCAAUUUUUCUGGAACAAUCCCUUUCUUCAGGAGGAGGGGUCUCUAAGGCAGGUGAGCCAGGUCCCCUCCUUGUCCCCACAUCUGAAAUCCAAUCAUUCAACUUGGGUUCCUCGGGCCUCAGAGGCUUCUCAGACUGUAAGAGGCCGGGAGGGGAAGGACAUCCUGUCCGAAGCGGCAAGUGCGUCCACUACCACUCAUGCUGGAGAGGACAGGCCGCCUGUCUUCUGUGGCCAGGGACACAGGCUUGGGGCCCACCCUCAGACCUCUGAGAACUGCCUGCCAGCCCCCGAUGCAGAACCCUUGAUAGGCAAGCCUCAGUUUCUCCACACCCCACUCCUCUUUCUCCUCUCCUCAGCCUUACAGCUGGAGGGCAGGGGGCUGGGGAAGGGGGUCACCCCAAUGCCCUGGACUGGGCCCCACAGCUCCCCCGGCUGCUUGCUUCCUUCUCCUGACGGCCGGCUCCUUCCCACUUCAGCCUCCUCUGUGGGCACCGAGGCCCAGGAGCUUCAAAAGUCAGACCAAGACUGUCCUUGGUCCCACAGGGGCAGAGGUGAGAUCUGUGCGUGCCCCCUCUCCACACUCACGGGGACAGGGCGUGAGAUCUUUGCGCCCCCUCCCCAUGAUCUCCCUUUCCAGAUUUUCAAAACGCCCAAGUGACGUGAAAUGGUGUGUGUAUUUAUAUCCGACGUAAACAAUCUCCUUCACGAGAUGUCCUCGUCUGGAAUUAAAGCUGUUUAUUC